CGCUCGCAGCACUUCACUGCGAUGCGAUUUUGUUAUGUUAUUUACACUGAGCCGGAAACAACGGCUUUAUGAAUCCGUUCAUUCAGGAAAGUUCUUGGUUAUUUAAAAUAUUGCAAAAACUUUUGAGAGAGAAAUGUAUCGGUAAUGUUAUAAUCGGUAAUUGACUCCCCGUUUGCCGAAUGAUACCUAUAGAUAGACUACGUACGGCCGCGCCGGUGCACUAGCUUUGGAGUAACAGUUGGAGCUGCGUCAGCGGCCGGUCCGUCGACCGUCGACGUCUCCUCAGCAUACCUGGAUUUACUGAGUGGCUGCCAUGACUCAAUCAAAUCCAUUCCCAGUUUAUUCAAUUACGAGACGAGAGUGCAUCGAUAACUGAUAUUUUCGCGUGGCUUAGUGUGCGUAUGUGUAUGAGCUGAGUGACCAAUUGUUAUAGAAACUAUUAUUUCUUUAGGUAGAUUUCUUCAGGACCGGAGAUUGACGAUAAAAUCUCAAUGAGUAGAGAUUUCGAUGUUGUAAAUAUGAAAAUUAUUUAUUCACGAUAAUAGCAAUGUAAUAAUUGAUGUAUAUUAACAUACAUGUUUCAACAUAUAUGUUGCAUUGAAAAUCAGAUCUACUGAAACCAGGCCGACUUUAAUUCCUGAUCAUGAUUUAGGGUCUUUUACAUGGAAAAUGUUCUUUUCAAUAAAUUUCGUGUAAUAUUCGAUACAGUAACGAUUGCAUGACCGACUGUGCAGAUUCAAAAUGAAAGUAAUCAAAGUAGAGAUAUCGGUUGGCUGUUGAAAUAGAGUGAUGGAAGAGAUUUCUUCCGCGUACGCAGCUCGUGUGCUUUCGCAUGAAAUACAUUGAUAGAGCGUAAUGUCAUUGUUUGACUUCACGUUGAAUGGCCAGACAGGAAAUACCGGAUAUACACGAGUACAAUUUCGCAGUUUUGAACAAUUGUUCCUCUUCUACUGUAAUGCUUCCACAAACUACAUCGUGAAAUGAUUAUAUUGUCGAAAUUUUUCAUGCACAGAACAUUUAGCUUGAAAAUUAAGAGAGUGCGUAUUUAUCCAAAGCACCAACCGCGACAAGUCGAAAAUUUCUUUCGCAUGCGACAUGCUUUCGAUACUUAAACAGGACAAAUAGAUUCGGUAAAGUAAUAAAUAAUGCAAAAUCGAGAUUAAUAUCGUAUCGCGUCACGUACAAGGCAAAGUUUAGACAAACUUUCGCGCGCGCGCACACACAUACAUAGUCGGCCAUAUCCGCAAAUGUCGACAGAUGGCGACGAUCUGUGCGCCUAUGUCGUUCCUUUCGUAAUAUAUUCCAUCCUUUAGCCUGUUGGACCGCAUGUUGUUAUAAAACACAGCGGCGACGGCUGCGUUUAUCGUGAAUUUUAGUUACGAGUCUGUCAAGUUUUCACCGUCCCUCCUCAUAUCAUAAUAUGCAUGUGGGGAACCGUGUGAACUACUUGAGUUUAUGAUGUAUGCAGAAUAUCUCAACACUUGCGCAAUUUCCUAGCAAAUAUAAAUGGUGAAAUCAAUGCUAAGUAUAAUAUAUGUCGUUUGACAAUGUCAUCUCAAUAUUAAGAGAUUAUUGAUAGUUAUGAAGACAUUUAACACAGAAAAUUAAAAAAUUUUUGAUAAAUAAAAAUUUAAGAAAAUUUCAUAUUACAUUAA